GGGAUGGACCUGCCGCUGGUGCACCAGUUAUCAUGCCAAUGGUAGAGCUGGGUAGCCAAGCAGGGAACGGAUAAGAGCUGAAAGCAUCUAAGCACGAAGCCGGACCCAAGACGAGAUCUCCCAUUCUAAAAGAGAAGUAAGACCCCUUGAAGACUACGAGGUGGAUAGACCAGGGAUGGAAGUGCAGAGAUGCAUGGAGUUGACUGGCACUAAUCGGUCGAGGACUUGAUCUAAA
rnacentral:rRNA from 1 species